UACGAAGGGGGCUAGCGUUGUUCGGAGUUACUGGGCGUAAAGGGCGCGUAGGCGGCGCAUCAAGUCAGGCGUGAAAGCCCUGGGCUCAACCCUGGAAGUGCGCUUGAGACUGGUGUGCUUGAGUACGGGAGAGGAUAGUGGAAUUCCCAGUGUAGAGGUGAAAUUCGUAGAUAUUGGGAAGAACACCGGUGGCGAAGGCGGCUAUCUGGACCGUAACUGACGCUGAGGCGCGAAAGCGUGGGGAGCAAACAGG
rnacentral:rRNA from 1 species